AGGCCGUUAAUGACGCUCAUGCACGAAAGUGCGGGGAUCGAACAGGAUUAGAUACCCUGGUAGUCCGCACAGUAAACGAUGAAUACUUGCUUUCGGCGAUACACAGUCGGAGGCAAAGCGAAAGCGAUAAGUAUUCCACCUGGGGAGUACGCCGGCAACGGUGAAACUCAAAGGAAUUGACGGGGGCCCGCACAAGCGGAGGAACAUGUGGUUUAAUUCGAUGCUACGCGAGGAACCUUACCCGGGCUUGAAAGUUAGCGACGGCGGAUGAAAGUCUGCUUCCCUUCGGGGCGCGAAACUAGGUGCUGCAUGGUUGUCGUCAGCUCGUGCCGUGAGGUGUCGGCUUAAGUGCCAUAACGAGCGCAACCCUUUUCUCCAGUUGCCAUCGGUUCGGCCGGGGACUCUGGAGACACUGCCAUCGCAAGAUGUGAGGAAGGAUGGGAUGACGUCAAAUCAGCACGGCCCUUACGUCCGGGGCGACACACGUGUUACAAUGGGAGGGACAGAAAGCUGCGAAGUGGUGACACCGAGCCAAUCUCCAAACCUUCUCCCAGUUCGGAUCGGAGUCUGCAACCCGACUCCGUGAAGCUGGAUUCGCUA
rnacentral:rRNA from 1 species